rnacentral:rRNA from 1 species
UUCGCAAUGCCCGAAAGGGUGACGAAGCGACGCCGCGUGGGUGAGGAAGGCCCUCGGGUUGUAAAGCCCUGUCAGGAGUUAAGAAAUGUAAGUGCGCUAAUAUCGCAUUUAUUUGACGAAGGCUCCAAAGGAAGCCACGGCUAACUCUGUGCCAGCAGCCGCGGUAAUACAGAGGUGGCAAGCGUUGCUCGGAAUUAUUGGGCGUAAAGAGCACGUAGGUGGGUUUGUAAGUCAGAUGUGAAAGCCUUCUGUUCAACGGAAGAAUUGCAUCUGAAACUACAAGUCUUGAGUGUAGGAGGGGAGAAUGGAACUUCUGGUGGAGCGGUGAAAUGCGUAGAUAUCAGAAGGAACGCCGGCGGCGAAAGCGAUUCUCUGGCCUAUUACUGACACUCAGUGUGCGAAAGCUAGGGGAGCAAACGGGAUUAGAUACCCCGGUAGUCCUAGCCGUAAACGAUGGGCACUAAGUAGAGGGGUUUU